AGCAGCCGCGGUAAUUCCAGCUCCAAUAGCGUAUAUUAAAGUUGUUGCAGUUAAAAGCUCGUAGUUGAAUUUCGGGGUCAGUAGGUUGGUCAUGCCACUGGUAUGUACUGGUCUCACUGAUUCCUCCUUCCUGAUGAACUGUAAUGCCAUUAAUUUGGUGCUGCAGGGAAUCUGGACUGUUACUUUGAAAAAUUAGAGUGUUUAAAGCAGGCUAACGCCUGAAUACAUUAGCGUGGAAUAAUGAAAUAGGACGUUCGAUCCUAUUUUGUUGGUUUCUAGGAUUGACGUAAUGAUUAAUAGGGAUAGUUGGGGGCAUUAGUAUUCAAUUGUCAGAGGUGAAAUUCUUGGAUUUAUUGAAGACUAACUACUGCGAAAGCAUUUGCCAAGGAUGUUUUCAUUAAUCAAGAACGAAAGUUAGGGGAUCGAAGACGAUCAGAUACCGUCGUAGUC
rnacentral:rRNA from 1 species